ensembl:lncRNA
CCUGCCGGCGCAUCACAAUGUGUGCAUGGGCCUCGCGGGCCCGAGUGCAGGGAGAGGGGCGUAGAAGAGGCCCUCCGCCUUUGCUGAGGGGAGGAGAUCGAUUCAGAGGAGGUGGCACCCCCCCACCCCUACCCCUGCCAAAGUAUAAUACAGUCACAAGGCUGUACCCAGGAAUGGAAUCCAUUGCAGGAGAAUGUUGGGCAGAAUGUAAACUACUGGAUGGACCAUGGGUGUUAUCUACAUAUGACAACUUUUUGCAUACUCAUUUAUAUUUCCUAUCUGGGAAAUGAAGCCAGAAUCCACAGAUGUCCUUAUCCAUCUGCACACUUUUGUUUACUACCCAGAAGUGAAAUAAAUACAUGGACAGAAAAUUCCAAGCAUUGCUUCCAUGGAAGGGAUUGCAAAGGAGAUGGUACUGUUACGGUGAUACUGGGACAGGGGAGCUGAGAGGGAAAACUGGGGAGGGGCUGCAAAAACCAGGGAGACCUGGUAAAAAUUAAAACACAAAGACAAGUUGUUUGCUUCAGUACUUCAGUUCUGUAAUGAAAUGAGCAUAAUGUCAGUGUUAUUUGAGUAGCUUUCAUGCUCGCACGAUGGACUGAAUGCC